rnacentral:lncRNA from 1 species
GUGGAUUCUCAGCACAGAAGCCUCAGAGGAGAAGUGCCUUCUACAGUGUAGGUGUACAGCAAGCAUGGAAUGAAUAUUGCAAUUGGGUAGAAGCAGAGCUAAAGAAGGAAUAAGGCCUGGAGCUCACUCUGCCUGUGUCCGAGAACACCUUGAAACGUUCUCUACAUGGAUUUCACUCAUAUUACACAUCCUCCCUUUGGAGGGACAGCAUCGUGCCAUGAUAGGUCUGUUUUUCUAGGAUAUAAGAAAAGGGCAGAACGCAGAGCCCAGAUUGUUUUCCUUGGUAUGUAGCCCUGGGGCGAUAGAUCACCAGAGUUGAAGAGUGACCUGCUGAGAAAGUAUGGGAGAGCUUCUGGGUAAUGCACGAAAGAAACCCAGGAUGAGCAGAAGGGAACAAGCACUGAAGAAACCUACACUGUUAUCAUUUGUGUUAGGUAGCCCUUCUUGAUAUGGGUGGGAGUCCACCCAUCAAGGUGAUGAUCUAGAAGUAGAAGAAUCAUAGAAAAAUGGGAUGCUGAGCAUGCAACAACUUUAAAAUAGUUUAAUAUUUGCUCAUACCUCUUCCAUUGGCAA